rnacentral:rRNA from 1 species
GACGAACGCUGGCGGCGUGCUUAACACAUGCAAGUCGAACGGAAAGGCCCUGCUUGCAGGGUACUCGAGUGGCGAACGGGUGAGUAACACGUGGGUGAUCUGCCCCGCACUUCGGGAUAAGCUUGGGAAACUGGGUCUAAUACCGGAUAGGAGCCAUCUUUAGUGUGGUGGUUGGAAAGUUUUUUCGGUGUAGGAUGAGCUCGCGGCCUAUCAGCUUGUUGGUGGGGUAAUGGCCUACCAAGGCGGCGACGGGUAGCCGGCCUGAGAGGGUGUACGGCCACAUUGGGACUGAGAUACGGCCCAGACUCCUACGGGAGGCAGCAGUGGGGAAUAUUGCACAAUGGGCGCAAGCCUGAUGCAGCGACGCCGCGUGGGGGAUGAAGGCCUUCGGGUUGUAAACUCCUUUCGCUAGGGACGAAGCUUUGUUGUGACGGUACCUAGAUAAGAAGCACCGGCUAACUACGUG